UUAAGCUUAAAAUAAUGGAAGCUUAAGCCUAUAUAAUGAGGGGGUCUCACCAUUUUCAUAAAUCAAAUUAAUUUGAAGUGAGUGUGAGAAGUAGACAUGGUGUGGUAUUGUUUCGGUUCACCACCAAAAAGCAGGCGAUGAGCCGAACCAAUAUCACUCUUGUAUACUUUUCAUCAUCGCCAUUCGCCAACAACAUUUCAUUUUCGUCUCAGCCUCAGGUCUCUCAGAUCCAAAUCUUGAAAAUUUGUGCAGUUAAGGAUAGAUUAAAGAUUAAUAUUUUCCAACACAAAUGUUACUUGUUUCAAUUCUAAUCGUGAAUGAAGCAGUUGCAUUGCACCGUUAAUUUUGUCUUUUUCCGGAGAAGAAUUUGUGAAGCAUCUCAUGCAAAAAAAUUCCAAAGGAACACGCACGUUUUUUAUUAGUACCAAAAA